rnacentral:rRNA from 1 species
GGUUAAGCGACUAAGCGUACACGGUGGAUGCCCUGGCAGUCAGAGGCGAUGAAGGACGUGCUAAUCUGCGAAAAGCGCCGGCGAGGUGAUAUGAACCUUUGACCCGGCGAUGUCCGAAUGGGGAAACCCAGUGUGAUUCGUCACACUAUCGUUAACUGAAUACAUAGGUUAACGAGGCGAACCGGGGGAACUGAAACAUCUAAGUACCCCGAGGAAAAGAAAUCAACCGAGAUUCCCCCAGUAGCGGCGAGCGAACGGGGAGCAGCCCAGAGUCUGAAUCAGCUUGUGUGUUAGUGGAAGCGUCUGGAAAGUCGCACGGUACAGGGUGACAGUCCCGUACACGAAAAUGCACAGGUUGUGAACUCGAAGAGUAGGGCGGGACACGUGGUAUCCUGUCUGAAUAUGGGGGGACCAUCCUCCAAGGCUAAAUACUCCUGACUGACCGAUAGUGAACCAGUACCGUGAGGGAAAGGCGAAAAGAACCCCGGCGAGGGGAGUGAAAAAGAACCUGAAACCGUGUACGUACAAGCAGUGGGAGCACCUUCGUGGUGUGACUGCGUACCUUUUGUAUAAUGGGUCAGCGACUUAUAUUCUGUAGCAAGGUUAACCGUAUAGGGGAGCCGAAGGGAAACCGAGUCUUAACUGGGCGUUAAGUUGCAGGGUAUAGACCCGAAACCCGGUGAUCUAGCCAUGGGCAGGUUGAAGGUUGGGUAACACUAACUGGAGGACCGAACCGACUAAUGUUGAAAAAUUAGCGGAUGACUUGUGGCUGGGGGUGAAAGGCCAAUCAAACCGGGAGAUAGCUGGUUCUCCCCGAAAGCUAUUUAGGUAGCGCCUCGUGAACUCAUCUUCGGGGGUAGAGCACUGUUUCGGCUAGGGGGCCAUCCCGGCUUACCAACCCGAUGCAAACUACGAAUACCGAAGAAUGUUAUCACGGGAGACACACGGCGGGUGCUAACGUCCGUCGUGAAGAGGGAAACAACCCAGACCGCCAGCUAAGGUCCCAAAGUCAUGGUUAAGUGGGAAACGAUGUGGGAAGGCACAGACAGCCAGGAUGUUGGCUUAGAAGCAGCCAUCAUUUAAAGAAAGCGUAAUAGCUCACUGGUCGAGUCGGCCUGCGCGGAAGAUGUAACGGGGCUAAACCAUGCACCGAAGCUGCGGCAGCGACACUUAUGUGUUGUUGGGUAGGGGAGCGUUCUGUAAGCCGUUGAAGGUGGCCUGUGAGGGUUGCUGGAGGUAUCAGAAGUGCGAAUGCUGACAUAAGUAACGAUAAAGCGGGUGAAAAGCCCGCUCGCCGGAAGACCAAGGGUUCCUGUCCAACGUUAAUCGGGGCAGGGUGAGUCGACCCCUAAGGCGAGGCCGAAAGGCGUAGUCGAUGGGAAACAGGUUAAUAUUCCUGUACUUGGUGUUACUGCGAAGGGGGGACGGAGAAGGCUAUGUUAGCCGGGCGACGGUUGUCCCGGUUUAAGCAUGUAGGCGGAACGAUUAGGUAAAUCCGGUCGUUUAUUAACGCUGAGGUGUGAUGACGAGGCACUACGGUGCUGAAGUAACAAAUGCCCUGCUUCCAGGAAAAGCCUCUAAGCAUCAGGUAACAUCAAAUCGUACCCCAAACCGACACAGGUGGUCAGGUAGAGAAUACCAAGGCGCUUGAGAGAACUCGGGUGAAGGAACUAGGCAAAAUGGUGCCGUAACUUCGGGAGAAGGCACGCUGAUAUGUAGGUGAAGCCCCUGCGGGUGGAGCUGAAAUCAGUCGAAGAUACCAGCUGGCUGCAACUGUUUAUUAAAAACACAGCACUGUGCAAACACGAAAGUGGACGUAUACGGUGUGACGCCUGCCCGGUGCCGGAAGGUUAAUUGAUGGGGUUAGCGGCAACGCGAAGCUCUUGAUCGAAGCCCCGGUAAACGGCGGCCGUAACUAUAACGGUCCUAAGGUAGCGAAAUUCCUUGUCGGGUAAGUUCCGACCUGCACGAAUGGCGUAAUGAUGGCCAGGCUGUCUCCACCCGAGACUCAGUGAAAUUGAACUCGCUGUGAAGAUGCAGUGUACCCGCGGCAAGACGGAAAGACCCCGUGAACCUUUACUAUAGCUUGACACUGAACACUGGUCCUUGAUGUGUAGGAUAGGUGGGAGGCUUUGAAGUGUGGACGCCAGUCUGCAUGGAGCCGUCCUUGAAAUACCACCCUUUAAUGGCUGGUGUUCUAACGUAGACCCGUGAUCCGGGUUGCGGACAGUGUCUGGUGGGUAGUUUGACUGGGGCGGUCUCCUCCCAAAGAGUAACGGAGGAGCACGAAGGUUAGCUAAUCCUGGUCGGACAUCAGGAGGUUAGUGCAAUGGCAUAAGCUAGCUUGACUGCGAGAGUGACGGCUCGAGCAGGUGCGAAAGCAGGUCAUAGUGAUCCGGUGGUUCUGAAUGGAAGGGCCAUCGCUCAACGGAUAAAAGGUACUCCGGGGAUAACAGGCUGAUACCGCCCAAGAGUUCAUAUCGACGGCGGUGUUUGGCACCUCGAUGUCGGCUCAUCACAUCCUGGGGCUGAAGUAGGUCCCAAGGGUAUGGCUGUUCGCCAUUUAAAGUGGUACGCGAGCUGGGUUUAGAACGUCGUGAGACAGUUCGGUCCCUAUCUGCCGUGGGCGCUGGAGAAUUGAGGGGGGCUGCUCCUAGUACGAGAGGACCGGAGUGGACGCAUCACUGGUGUUCGGGUUGUCAUGCCAAUGGCACUGCCCGGUAGCUAAAUGCGGAAAAGAUAAGUGCUGAAAGCAUCUAAGCACGAAACUUGCCCCGAGAUGAGUUCUCCCUGAGACUUUAAGUCUCCUGAAGGAACGUUGAAGACGACGACGUUGAUAGGUCGGGUGUGUAAGCGCAGCGAUGCGUUGAGCUAACCGAUACUAAUGAACCGUGAGGCUUAACCUU